AUGAACGCUGGCGGCGUGCUUCACCCAUGCCAGUCGCACGAUGAAGCCCAGCUUGCUGGGUGGAUUAGUGGCGAACGGGUGAGUAACACGUGAGUAACCUGCCCUUGACUCUGGGAUAAGCCUGGGAAACUGGGUCUAAUACUGGAUAUGACUUCUCAUCGCAUGGUGGGGGGUGGAAAGAUUUAUUGGUCUUGGAUGGACUCGCGGCCUAUCAGCUUGUUGGUGAGGUAAUGGCUCACCAAGGCGACGACGGGUAGCCGGCCUGAGAGGGUGACCGGCCACACUGGGACUGAGACACGGCCCAGACUCCUACGGGAGGCAGCAGUGGGGAAUAUUGCACAAUGGGCGCAAGCCUGAUGCAGCGACGCCGCGUGAGGGAUGACGGCCUUCGGGUUGUAAACCUCUUUCAGUAGGGAAGAAGCGAGAGUGACGGUACCUGCAGAAGAAGCGCCGGCUAACUACGUG
rnacentral:rRNA from 1 species